GAUGAACGCUGGCGGCGUGCCUAAUACAUGCAAGUCGAGCGAACAGACGAGGAGCUUGCUCCUCUGACGUUAGCGGCGGACGGGUGAGUAACACGUGGAUAACCUACCUAUAAGACUGGGAUAACUUCGGGAAACCGGAGCUAAUACCGGAUAAUAUAUUGAACCGCAUGGUUCAAUAGUGAAAGACGGUUUUGCUGUCACUUAUAGAUGGAUCCGCGCCGCAUUAGCUAGUUGGUAAGGUAACGGCUUACCAAGGCAACGAUGCGUAGCCGACCUGAUAGGGUUAUCGGCCACACUCGAACUGAGACACGGUCCAGGCUCCUACGCGAGGCACCAGUAGGUAAUCUUCCGCAAUGGUCGAAAGCUUGACAGAGCAAACCCGCGUGAGUGAUGACGGUCUUCCGUUCUUAGAACUCUGUUAUUGGGGAAGAACAAAUUUGUAAGUAACUAUGCCCGUCUUGACGGUACCUAAUCAGAAAGCCUCGUCUAACUACGUG
rnacentral:rRNA from 1 species